ACAGGAUGAAAUUUAUACAUGUAUUCACCAUUAUCUUCUAAAUAAUCUUUGCCUGAAUCCCAACACAUUUGCUUCAUUUUUCAGAUUCAACUUAUCAGUAUAUUAAAGGUUCUGCUGAUAUUAAACCAACCAAGGAAUUUUCCCCAGUGGACUUCAGUGUGUCACCAUUUUAAUUGGUGUCUAUGAUAUACAGACAGGGGUGCCACUGAUGGGAGUCAUCAACCAACCUUUUGUGUCACAAGAUGCCAAUACUCUCAGGUGGAAAGGACAGUGCUACUGGGGCCUUUCUUACCUGGGCACCAAUAUCCAUUCCCUUCAGCUCGCCACCUCUAAAAGACAUGACAGUGACGCACAGACUGAAAAUGGCAGCUCUGAGGCGGAGUUCUCCCACCCCUUUUCAGCAGUCAUUAGUACAAGUGAAAAGGAGACUAUCAAAGCUGCCUUGUCAUGUGUGUGUGGAGAUGGCAUAUUCCCGGCUGCUGGAGCUGGUUACAAGAGCCUUUGUGUUGUCCAAGGCCUGGUUGACAUUUACAUCUUUUCAGAAGACACCACAUUCAAGUGGACUCUUGUGCUGCUCAUGCCAUACUGAGGGCCAUGGUGGGGGGAUGGUAGACAUGAAAGGAUGCUUGGGAAGAAAUCCAGAAAUGGGCUGGAUUUGCCUCAGUUGCUGUACCACGUGGAAAAUGAAGGUGCUGCUGGGUGGAUCGCUGGGCCAACAAGGGAGACUAAUAGCAUACAGGUCCAGGAAGCGGCUGGAGACGUUCCUAAGCCUUCUCAUCCAGAACCUUGCAUCUUCAGAGACACAGACAUAGGACCUGACGUCAACAUACGAUGUAACCCGAACUGAAACUGUUUCCCAUUAUCUCUAUCUUUUGAAGAUAGUUUUGUCCUAUUGAUGGUUAACAUUCACCUUCCUCUUUGGAGGAGCAUUUUUUUUCCAUUAUGUGUUCAUAAUGUUAAUUUCAGUCAAUGACAUUCAUACAACAAUUAAGUUGGUAUAUGAUAUUCUUACAAUAAAUAUUGUCCCAUUAAUGUUGCUUGAAAGACU
rnacentral:lncRNA from 1 species